rnacentral:rRNA from 1 species
UACGUAGGGUGCAGGCGUUAAUCGGAAUUACUGGGCGUAAAGCGUGCGCAGGCGGUUUGCUAAGACAGGUGUGAAAUCCCCGGGCUUAACCUGGGAACUGCGCUUGUAACUGGCAAGCUAGAGUGUGGCAGAGGGGGGUGGAAUUCCAGGUGUAGCGGUGAAAUGCGUAGAUAUCUGGAGGAACACCGGUGGCGAAGGCGACAUCCUGGACCGGUAUUGACGCUGAGGCGCGAAAGCCAGGGGAGCAAACGGG